GUGCUCACUUCAGCAGCACAAAUACUAAAAUUGGAACAGUACAGAAAACAUAAGUAUGUCCCCUGUGAAAGCAUGACAACCAAAUAUGUGAAAUGUUCCAUAAUUUU
ensembl:snRNA U6 U6 spliceosomal RNA